rnacentral:rRNA from 1 species
CGUGCAGGCGGUUCUGUAAGUUGGAGGUUAAAUCUCUCGGCUCAACUGAGAGGCGUCCUUCAAAACUGCAGGGCUUGAGGAUGGGAGAGGGAAGUGGAAUUCCCGGUGUAGUGGUGGAAUGCGUAGAUAUCGGGAGGAACACCAGUGGCGAAGGCGGCUUCCUGGCCCAUUUCUGACGCUAAGACGCGAAAGCGUGGGGAGCGAACAGGAUUAGAUACCCUGGUAGUCC